CAGCAGGGCUGCACCCUGAGAGGCCGCCCUCUUCUGGCGUGAUCUGCAUCAUCCAUCCUCAAGCCUAAGAACUUCCUGUUGCUCAGAAGGCUGUUUCCUGUCUUCACUUUAUCUUCCAUCUGAAGCAAAACUUGAUGACCCUGUGACCUGGAAGGAGGCAUUUGAGGGCCUGCUGGUCUAUAAGAUGGGGAACAAAGGAGAAUCUACAGGACAAGGUUUUCACAGAGUCUUAACAAGACGAAAGAGGUCACGCUGCGGUCUGAACCCACGUGCCAUUUCUUAACAAGAGUAACUGAGAACAGAUGUUUCUAGAGCAGUGUCCCUGGCAUCAGAAUAAAAGAAGCAGCUCCAUUUGGAUGUUCUGUGCAGGUAAUAGCACUUCUCUUCUUCAGAAAUAACAUCUUCAGGGAAAGCAUAUUGAAUUCAAUCUGUUGUGUGAAUAUUUUCAGCUAGAGAAGAGUGCUGAUAAAGAUCUGAAGCAUCUGACUACAGCACAGAGGCCCUGCAUGAUCCAGUUUCUUCCAGCCUCCACAGCUCACCUGCCCUCCAUCUCUUCCAGCCCCUCCUGCUCCUCUAAGUUCCUCAAGCACAAGUCCAAACUGCCUUCCCCCCCUGAACACUGACACCAGCUGAUACAUCUGCCUGAAAACCUCUUCCUAUGGCUGAAUUCUUCUCAUCUUUGGGGGUUUUAGUUCAAAUAUCAGAUGAAGACCCAAGGUGAUGGAAGAAGCAUAAAAACUGGAAGGAAUCUCAUUCUCCUGGUUCCUCAUAUAGCACUCCUGCUGUAACUGAUGCCAACCUGUGACUUAAGGGCAUUUCUCUGCCACUCACUAUGGAGACCCUAGAUUAUAGGGAUGCUGUCUUCUAGCUUUGUUUUCUUAAAUGAAUUUUUACUGGAGGAUAGUUGUUUUAUGAUAUUGUAAUCGUUUCUGCUGUACAGCGAAGUGAAUCAGCCAUAUGAUUACAUAUAUCCCCUCCUUUUUGGAUUUCGUUCCCACUUAAGUCACCACAGAGCAUUGAGUAGAGUUCCCUCUGCUAUAUAGUACAUGCUUGUUAGUUAUCUACUUUAUAUAUAGUAUCAAUAUUUGUCUUUCUAGUUUUGUUUUGUUCUCAUUCUUUUGACUACUGUGUUUAGGAAAAUGGGGAAGAUAUUGCUGAUGUAAAGCAAUUCCCUAGCAGUUGAGACUGGUUCUGGCAGGAAGGACUUUGUUUAAGAACUAACAAAGAUGCAUGCUCAUCAGCCCCUGUGGACCUAGGCACCCUUGGGUUCUCUUUAAAAAGGGAGAGAGUUCCCUCUUAUAGGGAGAGAGCUCCUCUUGCUACAUAGCUGUUUGAAAGCACCCUGAUGACUUCCAUUUGAAAAAUGAUCAGAAGACAUCUCAUUAUGAGUUCUCUGAUUUAAAAUGGAACUGUAUUUUAGGAACAGUUUCUACUCUGAAGUAAUAUUUCCUGUAAACUAGGGUGUCAUAGAAUGCAGCGAUCUCUUCCUCUGGGAUAUUUUUCUCAUCCAAAUGUUGACUUGCAAAUAUAAUUUUUUACAUCCAUUUGUGACUCACCCUCGCCUUUUUAACCUAGAGACUCCCUGGUGUUGGCUGGUCUCCUCUGAGUUAUUCAUCCAGGUCCGGAGCAUAUUGAAUACAUAUGGCCUGUGUCACCUUGAACAGGCAAAACAAACAGAGGGUCAUAAAAAAGAAACAAACAUUACUUUCCUAACCAAUCAUAAGUGGAAUGCAUUUGCAUCUCAGAUAGUUUAAUGUAUCCUUAGUUUAGAAUAAUUCAAUCACAAAAUGGAAGUCUUAAAGGCUAUUUGGCUUCAUAACCUCACAGAUGUAUUGAAUCUCCUAGGAUGUGUCUCCACCAGCCUUCAUCCAACGUCUAUUCACCACCUUCAGCAGUGGCUAUUGACUAUCUCCUGGGGCUCACCAUGUUUUCAUGGAUUUAAUUGGUAGGAAGUUAAGUUGAGCCUAAAUUUUUGGCUACUGAUUUGGUCAACAAGGAAUAAAUGCUUUCAUCCAGAACAUCAGUUAAACAAUACAGAGUCAAGAACAGAGCAGUGGUUAGCUUCUAGAGAACUCUAGAAGCAUUCAUCAACACAAACUCUGCCCUAAAAUCUGGUUGCAAUAUUUAAUGAGGAGACCAUGGAAGUCUUGGGCAAUCAAGGUACUCUAUAUAUUCUACUAACAUUUCUGGGUUAUCCUAAUCUAGAAAACUUUGGUGACCUCAGGUUUCCCUCUGACAUCCCAGUGGUGGGCAAUGUUAUUAAGUAAGUUAAGUUCCAGGCAAAAAUUUGACAAAGAUUUAUAUAGAUUAAAGCCCCUUCUCCCUUCACAAAUUUUUCAAAAUCCUCUCAAAUUUCAUCUAUAGCUCAUCUCCAUAUUAAUACACACUAUGAUCAUCCAUGGGAAAGCCUGAUUCUUUGAUUUCAUUACAAACUAAGAGAUGUUCAUCUCUCAGCAUGUAUCACUUGGUAAUGAUAUCUUCCUUCCUUUCCUGGGGCUCUUGGCAUUUAAGAAUGCAUGGUAUUUACCCAAUAGCACUAGGGAAAUCGAGUGAAUCCAAAAUUCCCUACAUCUUCCUCCACUCAGGAUAUGAUAUUUAUGAGCCUUCUCCUCAAUAUUUAGUAUUCACAAGCAAAACAAAUUCUGCAAAUAUGUAAAUCCUAUAUUUUUGAUUUGGAGAAGGCUAAAGUAUCCAAGCCACACAAAGUUGCUAAGAGGAAGAAUAUUUGGGGGAGAAUGGAUACAUGUAUAUAUAUGACCCAGUCCCUUUUCUGUCCAACUGAAACUAUCACAACACUGUUAAUCAGCUAUCCUCCAAUAUAAAAUAAAAAGUUAAAAAUUAAAGUAAAAAAUUAAAAAGAAAAGAAUAUAGAUUCUCACUGGUUCCAGUCUUAGGUGGGGAAAUGGAGAAUUAUUGAGUUUUGAAAACAGCAUGGGCCAGGGAAACAAGGAGGGGGGAAAUAUAGACUGACCAUUUUUGUUGUGCAGUCGCUCAGUUGUGUCCAACUCUUUGCAACCCCAUGGACUGCAUAGCACAUAGCACAUCCGGCUUCCGUGUUCUUCACUAUCUCCCAGAGUUUUCUCAAACUCAUAUCCAUUGAGUCGAUGAAGGCAUCCAACCAUCCCAUUCUCUGUCACCUGCUUCUCCUCCUGCCCUCAGUAUUUUCCAGCAUCAGUGAAGAGUGAAAGUUGCUCAGUUGUGUCUGACUCUGUCACCCCAUGGACUAUACAGUCCAUGGAAUUCUCCAGGCCAGAAUACUGGAGUGGGUAGCCUUUCCCUUCUACAGGGGAUCUUCCCAACCCAGGGAUCAAACCGAGGUCUCCCACAUUGCAGGUGGAUUCUUUA